AUUCCAGCUCCAAUAGCGUAUAUUAAAGUUGUUGCGGUUAAAAAGCUCGUAGUUGGAGUUCUGCCAGGUGGCGCUCGUCCGCCCAAGUGGUGUGUACAGGGCGUGCAUCUGGCCCUUUCAAGGGGAGCGUAUUUGCACUUAAUUGUGUGGUGCGGGAUCCUUGACUUUUACUUUGAGGAAAUAAGAGUGUUCCAAGCAGGCUCUCGUCGUGCAUAGCUCAGCAUGGAAUAAUAGCAUUGGACCUCGAUUCUAAGCUGUUGGUUGCCAGAAGCGAGGUAAUGAUUAAUAGGGACAGUCGGGGGCAUUUGUAUUCAAACGACAGAGGUGAAAUUCUUGGACCGUUUGAAGACAAACUACUGCGAAAGCGUUUGCCAAGAAUGUUUUCAUCA
rnacentral:rRNA from 1 species